rnacentral:rRNA from 1 species
AACGAACGCUGGCGGCAGGCCUAACACAUGCAAGUCGAGCGAGACCUUCGGGUCUAGCGGCGGACGGGUUAGUAACGCGUGGGAACGUGCCCUUCUCUGCGGAAUAGCCACUGGAAACGGUGAGUAAUACCGCAUACGCCCUUCGGGGGAAAGAUUUAUCGGAGAAGGAUCGGCCCGCGUUAGAUUAGAUAGUUGGUGGGGUAACGGCCUACCAAGUCUACGAUCUAUAGCUGGUUUUAGAGGAUGAUCAGCAACACUGGGACUGAGACACGGCCCAGACUCCUACGGGAGGCAGCAGUGGGGAAUCUUAGACAAUGGGCGCAAGCCUGAUCUAGCCAUGCCGCGUGUGUGAUGAAGGUCUUAGGAUCGUAAAGCACUUUCGCCAGGGAUGAUAAUGACAGUACCUGGUAAAGAAACCCCGGCUAACUCCG